rnacentral:rRNA from 1 species
GACGAACGCUGGCGGCGUGCCUAAUACAUGCAAGUAGAAUGCUGAAGAGAGGAGCUUCCUCUUCUUGGAUGAGUUGCGAACGGGUGAGUAACGCGUAGGUAACCUGCCUUGUAGCGGGGGAUAACUAUGGGAAACGAUAGCUAAUACCGCAUAACAAUGGAUUACACAUGUCAUUUAUUUGAAAGGGGCAAUUGCUCCACUACAAGAUGGACCUGCGUUGUAUUAGCUAGUAGGUGAGGUAAUGGCUCACCUAGGCGACGAUACAUAGCCGACCUGAGCGGGUGAUCGGCCACACUGGGACUGGGACACGGCCCAGACUCCUACGGGAGGCAGCAGUAGGGAAUCUUCGGCAAUGGGGGCAACCCUGACCGAGCAACGCCGCGUGAGUGAAGAAGGUUGUCGGAUCGGAAAGCUCUGUUGUAAGUCAAGAACGGGGGUGAGAGUGGAAAGUUCACACUGUGACGGUAGCUUACCAGAAAGGGACGGCUAACUACGUG